rfam:Holdemania filiformis DSM 12042 genomic scaffold Scfld13, whole genome shotgun sequence.
ACCUAGGCGAUGAUACGUAGCCGACCUGAGAGGGUGACCGGCCACAUUGGGACUGAGACACGGCCCAAACUCCUACGGGAGGCAGCAGUAGGGAAUUUUCGGCAAUGGGCGAAAGCCUGACCGAGCAACGCCGCGUGAGUGAAGAAGGCCUUCGGGUUGUAAAGCUCUGUUGUGAAGGAAGAACGGCUCAUACAGGGAAUGGUAUGGGAGUGACGGUACUUUACCAGAAAGCCACGGCUAACUACGUGCCAGCAGCCGCGGUAAUACGUAGGUGGCGAGCGUUAUCCGGAAUUAUUGGGCGUAAAGGGUGCGCAGGCGGUUUGUUAAGUUUAAGGUGAAAGCGUGGGGCUUAACCCCAUAUAGCCUUAGAAACUGACAGACUAGAGUACAGGAGAGGGCAAUGGAAUUCCAUGUGUAGCGGUAAAAUGCGUAGAUAUAUGGAGGAACACCAGUGGCGAAGGCGGUUGCCUGGCCUGUAACUGACGCUCAUGCACGAAAGCGUGGGGAGCAAAUAGGAUUAGAUACCCUAGUAGUCCACGCCGUAAACGAUGAGAACUAAGUGUUGGGGAAACUCAGUGCUGCAGUUAACGCAAUAAGUUCUCCGCCUGGGGAGUAUGCACGCAAGUGUGAAACUCAAAGGAAUUGACGGGGGCCCGCACAAGCGGUGGAGUAUGUGGUUUAAUUCGACGCAACGCGAAGAACCUUACCAGGUCUUGACAUCCCCUGCAAAGACAUAGAGAUAUGUUGGAGGUUAUCAGGGAGACAGGUGGUGCAUGGUUGUCGUCAGCUCGUGUCGUGAGAUGUUGGGUUAAGUCCCGCAACGAGCGCAACCCUUGUCUUUAGUUGCUAACAUUAAGUUGAGGACUCUAGAGAGACUGCCGGUGACAAACCGGAGGAAGGUGGGGAUGACGUCAAAUCAUCAUGCCCCUUAUGACCUGGGCUACACACGUACUACAAUGGCGGAUACAACGAGAAGCAAGACAGUGAUGUGGAGCAAAACUCAGAAAGUCCGUCUCAGUUCGGAUUGAAGUCUGCAACCCGACUUCAUGAAGCCGGAAUCGCUAGUAAUCGCGGAUCAGCAUGCCGCGGUGAAUACGUUCUCGGGCCUUGUACACACCGCCCGUCAAACCAUGAGAGUUGGCAAUACCCGAAGCCGGUGGCCUAACCUCGCAAGAGGAGGGAGCCGUCGAAGGUAGGGCUGAUGAUUGGGGUUAAGUCGUAACAAGGUAUCCCUACGGGAACGUGGGGAUGGAUCACCUCCUUU